GGCUCCAUAGUGUAGUGGUUAGCAUGUUUGUUUUACUCACAGAAAGUCCUGGGUUCAUGACCCAGGUGGAGCCA
rnacentral:tRNA from 1 species